rnacentral:rRNA from 1 species
AGUAAACAAGAAGGGAAACGUUACUGAUAAUAACUGGAUAAGUUAGUAUAUCGCAUGAUAUGCAAAAUGAAAGCUACGGCACUAAAGGAGAGCUUUGCGUCCUAUUAGCUAGUUGGUAAGGUAAGAGCUUACCAAGGCGAUGAUAGGUAGCCGGCCUGAGAGGGUGGACGGCCACAAGGGACUGAGAUACGGCCCUUACUCCUACGGGAGGCAGCAGAC